GGGCGCUUAGCUCAGGGGAAGAGCGCUUCCUUGACGCGGAAGAGGUCACAGGUUCAAAUCCUGUAGCGCCCACCA
rnacentral:tRNA from 2 species